AUCAACGCUGGCGGCGUGCCUCAGACAUGCAAGAUCGAACGCGAAAGUUCCCUUCGGGGAGCAAGUAGAGUGGCGCACGGGUGAGUAACACGUAGGUGAAUCUACCUUUGGAUUGGGAAUAACCAACCGGAAAACGGUUGCUAAUACCGAAUAAUGCAGCGGCACCUAAUGGUGACAGUUGUUAAAGCGGGGGAUCGCAAGACCUCGCGUCUGAAGAGGAGCCUGCGGCAGAUUAGCUAGUUGGUAAGGUAAUGGCUUACCAAGGCUAUGAUCUGUAGCCGGCCUGAGAGGGCGGGUCGGCCACACUGACACUGACAUACGGGUUCAGACUCCUACGGGAGGCAGCAGUCGGGGAAUUUUGGGCAAUGGGCGAAAGCCUGACCCAGCAACGCCGCGUGAAGGAUGAAAUCCUUCGGGAUGUAAACUUCGCAAGAACGGGAAUGAAUAAGCCGGUGUAAUACCACCGGCGAUGACGGUACUGUUUGUAUAAGCUCCGGCUAACUCCGUGCCAGCAGGCCGCGGUAAUACGGGGGGAGCAAGCGUUGUUCGGAUUUACUGUAGGGCGUAAAGGGCGCAUAGGCGGCCACCGCAAGUCAGUUGUGAAAUCUCCGGGCUUAACCCGGAAAGGUCAACUGAUACUGGUGCGGGGCUAGAGAUGCAGAAGGGGGCAACUGGAAUAUUCUCGGUGUAAUCGGUGAAAUGCGUAGAUAGUCGAGAGGAAAACAACCUGCGGCGAAGGCGGGUUGCUCUGGGCUGGACGACCUGACGCUGAAUGCGCGAAAAGCUGAAGGGGAGCGAACGGGAUUAGAUACCCCGGUAGUCCUAGCCGUUCAAAGACGAUGAAUGCCUUGGUGUGUCUGGGGUGUUUAUAGUCCCCGGGUGCCGUCGCUAACGGCUUUAAGCAGUUCCGCCUUGGGGAGUACGGUCGGUCGCAGACUGAAACUCAAAGGAAUUGACGGGGGACCCGCACAAGCAGGGUGCGAGCAUGUGGUUUAAUUCGAACGCAACGCGAGAAGAUACCUUACCCUGGGCUAGAAUGCCUCUGAACCGGCGUAGAGACUACGCUUUCCUGGGUAGAAAACCAGGCCAGAGUGCAGGUGCUGCAUGGCUGUUCGUCAGCUCGAUGUCGUGAGAUGUUGGGUUAAGUCCCGCAACGAGCGCAACCCUUAUCAAUAGUUGCCAUCACGGUCAAGGUGAGGCACUCUAGAGAACCGCCCCGGAUAAACGGGGAGGAAGGUGGGGAUGACGUCAAGUGCCUGCAUGGCCUUUAUGUCCAUGGGCUACACACAGUGCUACAAUGGGUGUGUACAAACCGUCGCAAACCCGCGAGGGGGAGCUAAUCGGAAAAAGACCCAUCCUCAGUUCGGAUUGGUGAGUCUGCAAACUCGACAUCCAUGAAAGCUGGAAUCUGCUAGUAAUCGCAGAUCAGCACGCUGUCGGUGAAUACAUUCCCGGGCCUUGUACACAACCGCCCGUCACAUCACGAAAGUGGGCUGUACUAGAAGCCGGUUGCGCCAACCCGCAAGGGGGGCUAGCCGUCCAAGGUGUAGCCUCAUGAUUUGCGGA
rnacentral:rRNA from 1 species